CAUCCCCUUGUCUCCAUAGUUACUGGAUGUGAAGACCAGUUCCCUUGAGUCUCCUUGUAGAGUAACCAUGGUGAUUUGGAGAGCGGUGCUAGUGAAAGACAUAGGACUUGAGUGAAGGAGACGCGAGUCCUGAUACAAGAGACUCAAAAAGGGUUUGAUGAGGAUUGGAGGAUUUCAGUGACAAUGAGUUUGAAGUAAUGGAGAAGAGCAUGCAGGUGAUAAGUGUGCUGUAACGUUGGUGAUGGUAUACCAAUCCACUUGUCACCUAGUAACUGACACCCGCUUCUAACGUCACUUCAGCUGCGCGGUCUGCAAUAAGGAGGUCAGCAAAAGUCCGGCAACAGAAGCACAGCACACAUUGGCAUGUUUGGGUGUUCAUCUCUGAUUCCCAGAGUCAAGAGCCUCAGUCCCCACCAAUAGAGCCACUUAGAGUUCCAGAGGAAACACAAGAAGAUGGAACCUUCCCAUUACACGUUUCCAGUCACACCACAAUGGCCACAAACACAAAGGCCACCCAGCCCGGACUUACAAGCGCCACCAAAACAUACAGGUGGUGAUUCUGCAUUCCUCUCCUCCAUGGCAGCAUUCCAUGACUGUCAUGUGGCAACAGAUUAGGCAACAAAUUAGACACUUGUCACAAAUUCCAAGGCAUUUGCAAAAGCGUGACAGCAGUCUUUAUACCACUAAUGCAAGUGUGUUGCUGUUAAAUGAAAAUGUGAGUAAUCGCAAUACAAAAGUAAAUGCUCAAUUUGG